rnacentral:rRNA from 1 species
GACCAAAGAGGGGGACCUUCGGGCCUCUUGCCAUCGGAUGUGCCCAGAUGGGAUUAGCUAGUAGGUGGGGUAACGGCUCACCUAGGCGACGAUCCCUAGCUGGUCUGAGAGGAUGACCAGCCACACUGGAACUGAGACACGGUCCAGACUCCUACGGGAGGCAGCAGUGGGGAAUAUUGCACAAUGGGCGCAAGCCUGAUGCAGCCAUGCCGCGUGUAUGAAGAAGGCCUUCGGGUUGUAAAGUACUUUCAGCGGGGAGGAAGGGAGUAAAGUUAAUACCUUUGCUCAUUGACGUUACCCGCAGAAGAAGCACCGGCUAACUCCGUGCCAGCAGCCGCGGUAAUACGGAGGGUGCAAGCGUUAAUCGGAAUUACUGGGCGUAAAGCGCACGCAGGCGGUUUGUUAAGUCAGAUGUGAAAUCCCCGGGCUCAACCUGGGAACUGCAUCUGAUACUGGCAAGCUUGAGUCUCGUAGAGGGGGGUAGAAUUCCAGGUGUAGCGGUGAAAU